rnacentral:rRNA from 1 species
GACGAACCGUCCGAACGUUAUUCGGAAUCACUGGGCUUAAAGGGUGCGUAGGCGGCGCGGAAAGUUGGGUGUGAAAUCCCUCGGCUUAACCGAGGAACUGCGCCCAAAACUACCGUGCUCGAGGGAGAUAGAGGUGAGCGGAACUUAGGGUGGAGCGGUGAAAUGCGCAGAUAUCAGGAAGAACACCCGUGGCGAAGGCGGCUCUCUGGGACGGUACUGACGCUGAGGCGCGAAAGCGUGGGGAGCAAACAGG